rnacentral:tRNA from 1 species
GUCCCUAUCGUCUAGAGGCCUAGGACAUCGCCCUUUCACGGCGGUAACUCGGGGUUCGAAUCCCCGUAGGGACGCCA